CGCGCUGGAGCCCCUGAGGUGUUGGGGGUGGGGACUCCACGCGCGAGGUGACGCCGUGGCUGCACGAGGACAUCCCGGCGCGCGGAGCCCGGUGGUGAGCGCCAUAGUGUGGGAGGCGAGCCUUGGUGCCCUUUAGCUGGUGUGUUUGCCACCUGCUUCCUGGAAGAAAGAACCUCAAUCACUGGACACAGACUCAGGGUCGGAAAGGUGACGUUGUCCUAGGGUCAUAGCUAGUGAGUGACCCUGUGGGGUUGUGGCCUGUCUCAUUUCCCAGUCGCUGCUUUUCAGCUGCUUCCCUGGGUUACCCCGCUUCUGAAAGGGCACCUAAGGGCCAGAGUGGAAAUCCGACUUCCGACCGACAGUUCUCCAGGAUUCUGUGGAUCUGAACUCCCUCCUGUACAACAGUUCUCCAGGGUCAUGUGGAUCUGAACUCGCUCCCUUACGACCGUUUUCUAGGAUCCUGUGGGUCUGAUCUCCCUCUCGUACAACAGUUCUCCGUGGUGUGGAUCUGAACUCCCUCCCAUAUGACAGUUCUUGAGGAUGGUGUGGAUCUGACCUCCUUCCCGUACGACAGUUCUCUAGGGGGGUGUGGAUCUGAACUCCCUCCCGUAUGACAGUUCUCUAGGGGGGUGUGGAUCUGAACUCCCUCCCGUAUGACAGUUCCCCAGGAUCCUGUGGAUCUGAACUCCCUCCUGUACCACAGUUCUCCAGGAUUCUGUGGAUCUGAUCUCACUCCUGUACAACAGUUCUCCAGGGUCGUGUGGAUCUGACCUCCCUCCCGUACGACAGUUCUCCGUGGUGUGGAUCUGAGCUCCCUCCCGUAUGACAGUUCUCCAGGAUCCUGUGGAUCUGAACUCCCUCCCAUACGACAGUUCUUGAGGAUGGUGUGGAUCUGACCUCCUUCCCGUACGACAGUUCUCUAGGGGGGUGUGGAUCUGAACUCCCUCCCGUACGACAGUUCCCCAGGGUCCUGUGGUUUUUCUCCUUUUUCAAAUUGAUUGAUUUGCGGAUAUUGAGCUAGCCUGCAUUCCAGGAAUAAAUCCCACUUGGUCGUGGUGAACA
rnacentral:lncRNA from 1 species